UACGGGGGGUGCAAGCGUUGCUCGGAAUUAUUGGGCGUAAAGCGCGUGUAGGCGGCUUACUAAGUCUGAUGUGAAAUCCCGGGGCUUAACUCCGGAACUGCAUCGGAUACUGGUGAGCUAGAGGACGAGAGAGGGUGAUGGAAUUCCAGGUGUAGGGGUGAAAUCCGUAGAUAUCUGGAGGAACAUCGGUGGCGAAGGCGGUCACCUGGCUCGUAUCUGACGCUGAGACGCAAAAGCGUGGGGAGCAAACAGG
rnacentral:rRNA from 1 species